rnacentral:rRNA from 1 species
GAGUCGGCCUGCGCGGAAGAUGUAACGGGGCUAAACCAUGCACCGAAGCUGCGGCAGCGAACGUAUCACCCAAGACAACUUUACGGAGUUGACGAUUGACGGAGCGAAGCGACGUCAAAGCGUUCAUUAAAGUCGAGUUGGCUUAGGGAUACGUUCGUUGGGUAGGGGAGCGUUCUGUAAGCCUGUGAAGGUGUGUCGUGAGGCAUGCUGGAGGUA